CCUUAGGUAGCUCAGUUGGUAGAGCGGAGGACUGUAGAUCCUUAGGUCGCUGGUUCAACUCCGGCUCGAAGGA
rnacentral:tRNA from 1 species